rnacentral:rRNA from 1 species
UACGUAGGGUGCAAGCGUUUGUCCGGAAUUAUUGGGCGUAAAGAGCUCGUAGGCGGUCUGUCGCGUCGAAUGUGAAAACCCGGGGCUCAACCCCGGGCCUGCAUUCGAUACGGGCAGACUAGAGUUCGGUAGGGGAGACUGGAAUUCCGGUGUAGCGGUGAAAUGCGCAGAUAUCAGGAGGAACACCGGUGGCGAAGGCGGGUCUCUGGGCAACUACUGACGCUGAGGAGCGAAAGCGUGGGGAGCGAACAGG